GUGGAGUUGUGGCUCAGUGGUAGAGCACUUGCCUUGCAUAUUUGAUGCACUGGGUUCAAUCCUCAGCUUCACA
rnacentral:tRNA from 1 species